GAUGAACGCUGGCGGCGUGCCUAAUACAUGCAAGUCGAGCGAACGGACGAGAAGCUUGCUUCUCUGAUGUUAGCGGCGGACGGGUGAGUAACACGUGGAUAACCUACCUAUAAGACUGGGAUAACUUCGGGAAACCGGAGCUAAUACCGGAUAAUAUUUUGAACCGCAUGGUUCAAAAGUGAAAGACGGUCUUGCUGUCACUUAUAGAUGGAUCCGCGCUGCAUUAGCUAGUUGGUAAGGUAACGGCUUACCAAGGCAACGAUGCAUAGCCGACCUGAGAGGGUGAUCGGCCACACUGGAACUGAGACACGGUCCAGACUCCUACGGGAGGCAGCAGUAGGGAACCUUCCGCAAUGGGCGAAAGCCUGACGGAGCAACGCCGCGUGAGUGAUGAAGGUCUUCGGAUCGUAAAACUCUGUUAUUAGGGAAGAACAUAUGUGUAAGUAACUGUGCACAUCUUGACGGUACCUAAUCAGAAAGCCACGGCUAACUACGUGCCAGCAGCCGCGGUAAUACGUAGGUGGCAAGCGUUAUCCGGAAUUAUUGGGCGUAAAGCGCGCGUAGGCGGUUUUUUAAGUCUGAUGUGAAAGCCCACGGCUCAACCGUGGAGGGUCAUUGGAAACUGGAAAACUUGAGUGCAGAAGAGGAAAGUGGAAUUCCAUGUGUAGCGGUGAAAUGCGCAGAGAUAUGGAGGAACACCAGUGGCGAAGGCGACUUUCUGGUCUGUAACUGACGCUGAUGUGCGAAAGCGUGGGGAUCAAACAGGAUUAGAUACCCUGGUAGUCCACGCCGUAAACGAUGAGUGCUAAGUGUUAGGGGGUUUCCGCCCCUUAGUGCUGCAGCUAACGCAUUAAGCACUCCGCCUGGGGAGUACGACCGCAAGGUUGAAACUCAAAGGAAUUGACGGGGACCCGCACAAGCGGUGGAGCAUGUGGUUUAAUUCGAAGCAACGCGAAGAACCUUACCAAAUCUUGACAUCCUUUGACAACUCUAGAGAUAGAGCCUUCCCCUUCGGGGGGCAAAGUGACAGGUGGUGCAUGGUUGUCGUCAGCUCGUGUCGUGAGAUGUUGGGUUAAGUCCCGCAACGAGCGCAACCCUUAAGCUUAGUUGCCAUCAUUAAGUUGGGCACUCUAAGUUGACUGCCGGUGACAAACCGGAGGAAGGUGGGGAUGACGUCAAAUCAUCAUGCCCCUUAUGAUUUGGGCUACACACGUGCUACAAUGGACAAUACAAAGGGCAGCGAAACCGCGAGGUCAAGCAAAUCCCAUAAAGUUGUUCUCAGUUCGGAUUGUAGUCUGCAACUCGACUACAUGAAGCUGGAAUCGCUAGUAAUCGUAGAUCAGCAUGCUACGGUGAAUACGUUCCCGGGUCU
rnacentral:rRNA from 1 species